AGUGGGAAUGUUGGGGGGUGGUCUUAUACGCCCAGUCACCUUAUACACCGGCAAAUACGGUAAUAGUGAUCGGAAACCAAGUGGAAACUAGCAAGUUCUUUUACCACCACCACCCAGUGCUAUGUCUAUACAAAUGACUGCUGCAGUCAGUAACACAUGAAACCUUCAAGUCUUAACUGUUUUUAUUUCACAUAAGUUUUUGUGGACUGCAGCCCACUUCGUUGGACUCACAUGAAGAGACCAGAAGUCACAGAAGCUGUCUGCCCUCAAAAAUUAAUUCUAACAAGGAAGAAACACAUAGGGUCUUCUAAUAGCACUGUGUUGAAGAUGAGAACAGAAAUAUGAAAUAUGUCCUGUCACAGGGGUACAUCUGCACCCAGAGAUCUUCUCUGUCAUGGUUUGACUGUUUCUCCAGCCUUCAAAACUCAUCUGUUGCAUUUGAUGCCCUUUCCCCUCCACUUUGAGGAGGUCGGCAGGGGUGCCUCUGGCAGGCUGUCUAAUCCACACCCCAAGUGGGUGAUGUUCUCUGGUUGAGAGCAGGCCCAAUUCAUAAAAUGGUCUCUCAGAAUUUUACACAGCAUGUGUUGGAGGUGAGAUGUUGGGGAGCCGGAAAGUGUUUUGCUUAAGAUUCUGUGAGGUGAAGUGAAAUUCUUCAGCAGUCAAGACUGGGGAGAAAGUAGCCUUUGGCUCAAUUAAUAGAAAUUGGCAAUGAAGUGUCUGUUAGAUGUUAUCACCUCAAAGUAUGUAGUUCUUAAGAGAUUUUUUAAAAGAAAACAUGGCCCUUAAUGUAUUUUUGUCAAAAGGAGGAGUAUAGAAGGAGUGGAAAAACAUGGGAGGGCUACAAAUGUAAGAUGUUGCAAGUAACCCUUGUAAAACUUAAUUUGUGAGGCAGGAUGAUUGCACAAUGAGAGCCUCAUCUGAGUUCCUGACUCAGGCCUGAACAUAUCAUCUUCAUAAUGUCACAUACUUCUGCCUCUUUGGGAUUCUGUCAACAUCAUGACAGGCUGGUUUUUAAUCUCCUAAAAAAAAGUGACUGCUUACCCAAGAACACAGUUAAGGACAUAUCCUUAAUGGCUGCUGUACCUAUUCUAACAUUUGUUUGUCUGUGACGGGGUUGAAGUCGGAACUGAUUCAAAUGUUAAAAAAAACAACCCAUGGGAUAGUCGACAUGGCAUUUUGUCAUUUCAAAUUCUUAACGUCUUAUGACUGCAGGAAGUCAAUGAAUGCAUAUAAGCGGUGGAAGUAGAGCAUCCUCGUUAAUUACUUACAGAGAACUGGAGCCUAAAGCAGGAGCUCUUUGAAAGCCGUUGUAAACAUUGCCCUUACAAGAGUUCUAAAGGGUGUUCAUUCCCCGACAUUUCUGUUUUGACAUUAUUUUAUAACAUUUGAAGCAAUAAAUGGUUUAAGGUA